AGGGUUUGAUUCUGGCUCAGGAUGAACGCUGGCGGCGUGCCUAACACAUGCAAGUCGAGCGAAGCACUCUACUUUGAGAUCUUCGGAAGGAAAAGUUUUGUGACUGAGCGGCGGACGGGUGAGUAACGCGUGGGUAACCUGCCCCAUACAGGGGGAUAACAGUUAGAAAUGACUGCUAAUACCGCAUAAGACUACAGCACCGCAUGGUGCGGGGGUAAAAACUCCGGUGGUAUGGGAUGGACCCGCGUCUGAUUAGGUAGUUGGUGAGGUAACGGCCCACCAAGCCGACGAUCAGUAGCCGACCUGAGAGGGUGACCGGCCACAUUGGGACUGAGACACGGCCCAA
rnacentral:rRNA from 1 species